rnacentral:rRNA from 1 species
UACGUAGGGAGCGAGCGUUGUCCGGAAUCAUUGGGCGUAAAGAGCGUGUAGGCGGCCACUUAAGUCCUGCGUGAAAUCUUGCGGCUCAACCGCAAGCGGUCGUGGGAAACUGGGUGGCUAGAGUGCGGGAGAGGAGAGUGGAAUUCCUGGUGUAGCGGUGGAAUGCGCAGAUAUCAGGAAGAACACCCGUGGCGAAGGCGGCUCUCUGGAACGCAACUGACGCUGAGACGCGAAAGCGUGGGGAGCAAACAGG